AUUGAACGCUGGCGGCAGGCCUAACACAUGCAAGUCGAACGGAUCCUUCGGGAUUAGUGGCGGACGGGUGAGUAACGCGUGGGAACAUACCCUUUGGUACGGAAUAGCCUCGGGAAACUGGGAGUAAUACCGUAUGUGGUCGAGAGACGAAAGAUUUAUCGCCAAAGGAUUGGCCCGCGUUGGAUUAGGUAGUUGGUGGGGUAAUGGCCUACCAAGCCGACGAUCCAUAGCUGGUUUGAGAGGAUGAUCAGCCACACUGGGACUGAGAAACGGCCCAGACUCCUACGGGAGGCAGCAGUGGGGAAUCUUGGACAAUGGGGGAAACCCUGAUCUAGCCAUGCCGCGUGAUCGAUGAAGGCCUUAGGGUUGUAAAGAUCUUUCAGGUGGGAAGAUAAUGACUGUACCACCAGAAGAAGCCCCGGCUAACUCCGUGCCAGCCGCCGCGGUAA
rnacentral:rRNA from 1 species